rnacentral:rRNA from 1 species
UACGAAGGGGGCUAGCGUUGCUCGGAAUUACUGGGCGUAAAGCGCACGUAGGCGGAUCGAUCAGUCAGGGGUGAAAUCCCAGAGCUCAACUCUGGAACUGCCUUUGAUACUGUCGAUCUAGAGUAUGGAAGAGGUGAGUGGAAUUCCGAGUGUAGAGGUGAAAUUCGUAGAUAUUCGGAGGAACACCAGUGGCGAAGGCGGCUCACUGGUCCAUUACUGACGCUGAGGAGCGAAAGCGUGGGGAGCAAACAGG